rnacentral:rRNA from 1 species
AACGCGAAGAACCUUACCCAGGUUUGAAAUACAGAGGACGAUUCCAGAGAUGGAAUUUCCCGCAAGGGUCUCUGAACAGGUGCUGCAUGGCUGUCGUCAGCUCGUGCCGUGAGGUGUUGGGUUAAGUCCCGCAACGAGCGCAACCCUUAUCAUUAGUUGCCAACACGCGAGGUGGGGACUCUAAUGAGACUGCCUAGGUUAACUAGGAGGAAGGUGAGGAUGACGUCAAGUCCGCAUGGCCUUUAUGUCUGGGGCUACACACGUGCUACAAUGGACGGUACAGAAGGCAGCGAAGUCGUAAGAUGGAGCAAAUCCGAAAAGCCGUUCCCAGUUCGAAUUGUAGUCUGCAACUCGACUACAUGAAGCCGGAAUUGCUAGUAAUGACGUGUCAGCAACAACGUCGUGAAUACGUUCCCGGGCCUUGUA